rnacentral:tRNA from 1 species
GGGCAUAUAGCUCAGUGGUAGAGGGCAUGUUUGGCAUACACAAGGUCCUGGGUUCAACUCCCAGUGCCUCCA